rnacentral:rRNA from 1 species
CAUGGGUGAGUCGAUCCUAAGCCAACUGUGAAAGCAGUGACAUCCCGACAAAGGUGCAUUAGGGGGUGUGCCCGGCGCUCGCAAAGCUCUCGCUCGCCUCUCUCGAUAUACGACGUGACCUCCCGGGCGCGUGCGCGUACACGGCAAAACAUACGUUACGCGCGGGCGCGCUUGUGUGUCACGUUUGACAUAUACGGAUACGCUCGAGGGCGUUGAUUUGGCAUUGCASAGCASACAUCGUUCUGAUGAUACUGCUGCUGCUAGCACAGAGUGGAGAUGAAAGAGAGGUGGCACAGGCGGCGAGUGUGGCUUGCGGUACGCAUGGCGUUUGAGAUGCGCACACUAUGCUCUCUGCGUUGGUUCUAUGUCCGGCGAAAGGGAAUGGGGACUUUGUUCCUUGACCGGUCCCGGCACCCUCGAUAGGCUUUGCCAUUCAAUGGUCCAUGCAAAUGGAACCAGGCCACAGCCGCCGGCAGUCGCCCGAGGAAGAGUUUUCUUUUCUGCUUAACGCACGAGAUCAUCCCUGGAAACAGUUCGGCUGGCGAAAGGGUGCCCCGUUGCGGCAGAGCGCCACGACUGUCGUGCGCGUCUCGGUGUUCCUGCCGGUCCGUGAAGACGUGGUCGAGGGGAUUGCACUUGUAUCAACGAAACGCCCGACAAGUUCGGGACGGACCGUACCCUAUAUCCGCAUCUGGUCUCCAAGGUUCGUAGCCUCUGCAGAGUCAGACACAUGUAGGUAAGGGAAGUCGGCAAACUCGAUCCGUAACUUCGGGAAAAGGAUUGGCUCUGAGGGCCGAGCUGGGCCGGGCCUUGCCUGCAAAGCAGUACCUAUAGUGACCGGAGUUUUAGGAGUGCGAGGGGCUCUAGUAGCUGGCCGCGUUUAGGCGUGGGCACGAACGAGUCUACCGCUCCGCUCCAACCACGANNGGNNGUGACGGCAAGGGCUCUGGGCGGGAGCGUUCAAACCGCUUCCCUCGCAGCUCGUGUGCGAGGCGGCGGUGCUCCGUCUGACCCAUACG